rnacentral:rRNA from 1 species
UACAGAGGUCCCGAGCGUUGUUCGGAUUCAUUGGGCGUAAAGGGCGCGUAGGCGGCGUGACAAGUCACUUGUGAAAUCUCCGGGCUUAACUCGGAACGGCCAAGUGAUACUGUCGUGCUAGAGUGCAGAAGGGGCAAUCGGAAUUCUUGGUGUAGCGGUGAAAUGCGUAGAUAUCAAGAGGAACACCUGAGGUGAAGACGGGUUGCUGGGCUGACACUGACGCUGAGGCGCGAAAGCUAGGGGAGCAAACGGG